UACGUAGGGGGCAAGCGUUGUCCGGAAUCAUUGGGCGUAAAGAGCGUGUAGGCGGCUUGGUAAAGUCCGCUGUGAAAGUCCAGGGCUCAACCCUGGAAUGCCGGUGGAAACUGUCAAGCUUGAGUCCGGAAGAGGCGAGUGGAAUUCCUGGUGUAGCGGUGAAAUGCGCAGAUAUCAAGAGGAACACCGAUGGCGAAGGCAGGUCACUGGGCCGCAACUGACGCUGAGGAGCGAAAGCAUGGGGAGCGAACAGG
rnacentral:rRNA from 1 species